GUCUUAGUUCGGAUUGAAGUCUGCAACUCGACUUCAUGAAGUUGGAAUCGCUAGUAAUCGCGAAUCAGCAUGUCGCGGUGAAUACGCUCUCGGGGUUUGUACACACCGCCCGUCAAACCACGAAAGUGGACAAUACCCGAAAGCGAUAGCCUAACCGCGCAAGCAGAGGGAAUCGUCUAAGGUAGGGUCGAUGAUUGGGGUUAAGUCGUAACAAGGUAUCCCUACCGGAAGGUGGGGAUGGAUCACCUCCUUUCU
rnacentral:rRNA from 1 species